AUUGAACGCUGGCGGCAGGCCUAACACAUGCAAGUCGAGCGAGCGGCGGACGGGUGAGUAAUGUAUGGGGGCUGCCCGAUAGAGGGGGAUAACUACUGGAAACGGUAGCUAAUACCGCAUACUAUCGGAUAACCCAUAUGGGAUUAGCUAGUUGGUGGGGUAAAGGCUCACCAAGGCAACGAUCCGUAGCUGGGUUGAGAGGACGACCAGCCACACUGGGCAUGAGAAAAGGCCCAGACUCCGACGGAGGCAGCAGUGGGGAAUUUGGGACAAGGGGGGAAACCCUGAUCCAGCCAUCCCGCGUGUAGGAUGAAGGCCUUCGGGUUGUAAAGUACUUGUGGCAGAGAAGCGGUAUCUGCAGAAUAAGCACCGGCUAACUACGUGCCAGCAGCCGCGGUAAUUC
rnacentral:rRNA from 1 species